rnacentral:pre_miRNA from 1 species
AAUUUCAUCUGAAAAAGUCAUCAAUAAGAAAGUUGUAUAACUCAUCAAGAUCUAUAACUUUUAUUUUGGUCAUUUCUUCAUCCGAUGAAGUGAUUUGUAAGAUUGUUCAUAAAAUGUAUAUCUCUUAUAUAGUUUUGAUAAAGUGAUUUGUAAGAUUGUUUACAAAAUGUUGUACAUUUUGUGAACAAUCUUACAAAUUACUUUAUCGUAUGAAGAAAUGACUAAAAUAGAAGUUAUAGAUCUUGAUGAGUUAUACAACUUUCUUAUUGAUGACUUUUUCAGUUGAAAUC